AUUUGAAUUUUAAUAUUGACACUUUAUAAACGAAUUUAUAAAAUCAUAAUGUUAAAUCAUUUUUAUUAUAGGUGGCUGUUACAAGAUUUCGGCAAGGGAACGGUGAACUAUACGUUCACCUGGCUAAAGGUUGGGGUACAACCUUUAGCCUGCACUACUCUGAAUUUGAAGAGCUGUGUCUGGCUAAAGAGGCAUUUGACUCUAAAUUACAUCUGUUAGAUGAUCUGUCUAAUGUAGACACACAAGCUGCAGGCGGAUCACCUCAGGAGAGGGCAACGGUCCCUCCAAAGAUAUCACCUUCGAUGCCCUCUACAUCUGGUUCCACGACAUCGCCUGCAUCGUCGUCAUCUCACAGAUAUCAACCAUAUUAGCAAAUCUAUAGUCUGCCUAUACGGUAAGUAGCUUUGUUUUCCUCAUAAAUAUACACGUAUAUUUUUGUAACUAUAGCAAAGCUACUAAAUACCGUAUAGACAGACAUUAACUGUGUUUCAUAAAUAAACAUGUAUAUUUAUGAGAAAAAAAGCUACUAAAUAUCGUAUAGGUAGAAUAA